GAUUUUGCUGAGGCAACUCACACAAUAAAUUAGAUCUGAUGCAGAGACGAUUAGUCGGGUCUCUGCAAAAGGAUGAAGCUGAAAUUCAUGAGACAUUUUACCAUCAU
rnacentral:snRNA from 1 species